CCUACGGGUGACAUCAGUGGGGAAUAUUGGACAAUGGGGGGAACCCUGAUCCAGCGACGCCGCGUGAGUGAAGAAGUAUUUCGGUAUGUAAAGCUCUAUCAGCAGGGAAGAAAGACAUGACGGUCCCUGACUAAGAAGCCCCUGCUAACUCCGUGCCAGCAGCCGCGGUACUACGUAGGGGGCAAUCGUUCUCCGGAUUUACUGGGUGUAAAGGGAGCGUAGACGGCGAUGCAAGUCUGAAGUAAAAGGCGGGGGCCCAACCUCCGGACUGCUUUGGAAACUGUAUGGCUGGAGUGCAGGAGAGGUAAGUGGAAUUCCUAGUGUAGCGGUGAAAUGCGUAGAUAUUAGGAGGAACACCAGUGGCGAAGGCGGCUUACUGGACUGUAACUGACGUUGAGGCUCGAAAGCGUGGGGAGCAAACAGGAUUAGAUACCCGAGUAGUC
rnacentral:rRNA from 1 species